rnacentral:rRNA from 1 species
UAGGGAAUCUUCCGCAAUGGACGAAAGUCUGACGGAGCAACGCCGCGUGAGUGAAGAAGGAUUUCGGUUCGUAAAACUCUGUUGUUAGGGAAGAAAAAAUGUAUAGUAACUAUAUACAAAAGAGACGGUACCUAACCAGAAAGCCACGGCUAACUACGUGCCAGCAGCCGCGGUAAUACGUAGGUGGCAAGCGUUGUCCGGAAUUAUUGGGCGUAAAGCGCGCGCAGGUGGUUUAGAAAGUCUGAUGUGAAAGCCCACGGCUCAACCGUGGAGGGUCAUUGGAAACUAAUAAACUUGAGUGCAGGAGAGAAAAGUGGAAUUCCUAGUGCAGCGGUGAAAUGCGUAGAGAUUAGGAGGAACACCGGUGGCGAAAGCGGCUUUUUGGCCUGCAACUGACACUGAGGCGCGAAAGCGUGGGGAGCAAACAGG